rnacentral:rRNA from 1 species
UUUGAUCCUGGCUCAGAUUGAACGCUGGCGGCAUGCCUUACACAUGCAAGUCGAACGGCAGCACGGGAGCAAUCCUGGUGGCGAGUGGCGAACGGGUGAGUAAUACAUCGGAACGUGCCCAAUCGUGGGGGAUAACGCAGCGAAAGCUGUGCUAAUACCGCAUAAGAUCUACGGAUGAAAGCAGGGGAUCGCAAGACCUUGCGCGAAUGGAGCGGCCGAUGGCAGAUUAGGUAGUUGGUGAGGUAAAGGCUCACCAAGCCUUCGAUCUGUAGCUGGUCUGAGAGGACGACCAGCCACACUGGGACUGAGACACGGCCCAGACUCCUACGGGAGGCAGCAGUGGGGAAUUUUGGACAAUGGGCGCAAGCCUGAUCCAGCCAUGCCGCGUGCAGGAUGAAGGCCUUCGGGUUGUAAACUGCUUUUGUACGGAACGAAACGGCUCUUUCUAAUAAAGAGGGCUAAUGACGGUACCGUAAGAAUAAGCACCGGCUAACUACGUGCCAGCAGCCGCGGUAAUACGUAGGGUGCAAGCGUUAAUCGGAAUUACUGGGCGUAAAGCGUGCGCAGGCGGUGAUGUAAGACAGUUGUGAAAUCCCCGGGCUCAACCUGGGAACUGCAUCUGUGACUGCAUCGCUGGAGUGCGGCAGAGGGGGAUGGAAUUCCGCGUGUAGCAGUGAAAUGCGUAGAUAUGCGGAGGAACACCGAUGGCGAAGGCAAUCCCCUGGGCCUGCACUGACGCUCAUGCACGAAAGCGUGGGGAGCAAACAGGAUUAGAUACCCUGGUAGUCCACGCCCUAAACGAUGUCAACUGGUUGUUGGGUCUUCACUGACUCAGUAACGAAGCUAACGCGUGAAGUUGACCGCCUGGGGAGUACGGCCGCAAGGUAGAAACUCAAAGGAAUUGACGGGGACCCGCACAAGCGGUGGAUGAUGUGGUUUAAUUCGAUGCAACGCGAAAAACCUUACCCACCUUUGACAUGUACGGAAUUUGCCAGAGAUGGCUUAGUGCUCGAAAGAGAACCGUAACACAGGUGCUGCAUGGCUGUCGUCAGCUCGUGUCGUGAGAUGUUGGGUUAAGUCCCGCAACGAGCGCAACCCUUGUCAUUAGUUGCUACAUUUAGUUGGGCACUCAAGUGAGACUGCCGGUGACAAACCGGAGGAAGGUGGGGAUGACGUCAAGUCCUCAUGGCCCUUAUAGGUGGGGCUACACACGUCAUACAAUGGCUGGUACAAAGGGUUGCCAACCCGCGAGGGGGAGCUAAUCCCAUAAAACCAGUCGUAGUCCGGAUCGCAGUCUGCAACUCGACUGCGUGAAGUCGGAAUCGCUAGUAAUCGUGGAUCAGAAUGUCACGGUGAAUACGUUCCCGGGUCUUGUACACACCGCCCGUCAUACCAUGGGAGCGGGUUCUGCCAGAAGUAGUUAGCCUAACCGCAAGGA